rnacentral:piRNA from 1 species
UGAUUGUUGACUCUGUCUGCCGCACA